CCAAUAUGGAAAAAAUUAGUAUACUAUUUGUGUGCCAACAUACACAAAGUAACUGCAUAAAAACAAAACAAUUACAUUAAAGUGCAUUUCUGUGGGAAAAGGGAGGUACAUUUUCUAAGGUUUUUUUUUUUUUUUUUUGAGGGGAGUUUUCAGGGGAAGUGACUGAUUUCAUAUAAUUUAUUUAUUUAUUUAUUUAUUUAUUUUGCAGAAUUUUACCUGUUUCACUUGCCUUUCAAAAUAUGGGAUUUACAAAAACAUGUAAAUGUAUGCAUACUGAUAUUUCCCAUAAAAGGGAUGUGAAAGUGUGAACAGAUGGCUCAGCAGAGGAAUCAAAAGAGGAAGUCUGCAAACCCUUUACAAACAGACCCACAAAACUUAUCUUUGCAGUAGGCCUACUUGCAGUGGUUUGCAAUUUGUACAUCUGUUAUUACAGGAAUAGUGCACCUUAAAGAAUUUAAAUUUACAAAAAAAAAAAAAAAAACAAUUUGUAGAUGAGUUUGUUUCUUACUCAGAACAGAUUUGGAGAAAUGUAGCAUUCCAUCAGUUUCUCAGCAAUGGAUCCUCUGCAGUGAAUGGGUGCCGUCAGAAUGAGAGUCCAAACAAGUAAUAAAAACAUUAAAAUGUUAAUUAGGCAAUGAGCCCUACACACACUGUAAGUUAAAUUGAUUUAUCCAUGUUUUAAUAUGCAUCUGGUCAUAGAGAUUUUUAGUUGGAUCUUGAGGCUUUUAGGGCGUCGUUUGCUGGCCUCAGUGGCUGCAAUAUGCUUUUUUCCGUUCUCUGGCAACCCGGGGUGUCCAAAUACUGUUGGUUAAACUGGCAGUUUGACACGUAAUCAGAGGCCCGUUUCAGAAAGGAGGUUAAGUGAAAACUAUGUUAACCCUGAAAUGAGGGAAACUCUGGGUUUUCCGUUUCAGAAUGGAAAGUUUGUCAAAUUCGAGAAAGCAAGGCAAGUCAAGCCACUUACUGAAAGAGAGGUAACUUAGAGUCAGUUACCAUUUCUUUGUUAAACUCAUAGUUUCUUCGUUAAACCCAGAGUCUCCUCCUCC
ensembl:lncRNA